CUUUAUUCUCUUAUUAUUAUUGUUUGUACAGUGUCUGUGGAGUGUUCUAAAGUUGCGAAUGAAUGAGUAGAUAGAUGGCAGUUGCAAGAUUCAUGGCCUCAGGAGAAGCAAUUGAGAAGAAUGGUGGAUUCAACUACUUCAUGUUUUGCAUCACCAUGGACUCCAAAAUAGACAUUGAUGUUUUAGGGUCUGUUUGUGAGUUGAGUUUUAGAAGUGAAAGAAGGGAAAUGGAAGGCUUAAGAGCCAUGAAAUACACCGCUCAGGUGAUUCCGAAGCCUUCUUUUUCCCUUCCUUUCCCUCCAAUUUCAUCUGACAAACAGACCCAAGCGUAUAUUGAAAUGAGCUUUCUGAAGAAUAGUCAAGGGAAGUUGUGUCAUUCAGGAAUGCGGUGCUGGAGGUAAAUCCUCGUUCCCCUUUACAUGCUUAGUUUAUUUCAAAAUGAAGCUAUCUUUAUUUUAUUCGACUUUCAUGCUUACUGUUGAUAUGCCAAAUAUAUAUUACUAGGGUAUGAUUGAAAGAGAUGAAAAUGGGGAUGUUUGAGUAACAUGCGUCUCAUAUCCACAUUUUCACAUUCUAACCUUCAUUACUGUAAGCCUUGGUUAGUUUGCCAUGUUUAAGGCCUUAGAGAAUUGAAAUUCUUUCAUAAAUAUGCUCCUUAAAAAUAUAUAUACUUUCACAAGCAUACCUUUCGCAUUCAUGCUCCUUCGUUUAUAUUAAUAGCACAUUAUAGCACCACAAUUGCACUAUAGCUGUCCCUGGGCGACCUGUUGCGUUUCUGAGUAGCAUUCCCCUUCUCCGUCCCUUUUGUCGCUCUUCUGAUCAGCCACAUAUAUUGGGCAACAUCCCGAUACCAAGAGGUUUUCCAUUUUAAGUUUUCACCUUUUCUGGACAAAUCCUACCUGCCAGAAAUCACUGAUCUUAUGCCUUCGCUAACAAUACCAGAGCUUGGACACAAAACUCGGAGAAGCCAAAAUAAAAAAUAUACAUUAGUAUAAAAAAUAUACUUGUUUAAGCCUUUGAAGAAAAGAAAAUAAUUGGUAGAUUGAUCUUCUCUUACUAUUAGAUUCUGACUUCAAAACUUGUUUUCUUCACUUUUUUGCCGCUGAUAUUUUUUAAAACAGACGUACAAGUACCAUUAUAUUCUUUCAUACCAAAAGUGGCAAGAGUGAGGUUUGAACUCGGAUUAAAUAGCUGGAAUGAAUAACAACUAACCACUAAAAUAUAACAAGUUUUUGUAAUAAGAUAUCAUAACAUAUAAUAUGAACACAUAUAUAUAUAUAUAUAUGUAUAUAUAUAUAUUUUAAAUAAAAUUUGUGGGGG
rnacentral:lncRNA from 1 species